GUAGGUGGCAAGCGUUGUCCGGAAUUAUUGGGCGAAAAGCGCGCGCAGGCGGUCCUUUAAGUCUGAUGUGAAAGCCCACGGCUCAACCGUGGAGGGUCAUUGGAAACUGAGGGACUUGAGUACAGAAGAGGAAAGCGGAAUUCCACGUGUAGCGGUGAAAUGCGUAGAGAUGUGGAGGAACACCAGUGGCGAAGGCGGCUUUCUGGUCUGUAACUGACGCUGAGGCGCGAAAGCGUGGGGAGCAAACAGGGAUUAGAUACCCUGGUAGUCCACGCCGUAAACGAUGAGUGCUAAGUGUUAGGGGGUUUCCGCCCCCUUAGUGCUGCAGCUAACGCAUUAAGCACUCCGCCUGGGGAGUACGACCGCAAGGUUG
rnacentral:rRNA from 1 species